rnacentral:lncRNA from 1 species
UCUCGUGGCCCUCUCCGGCGCCCAAUGGUCGAUCGAAGCUUCCGUAAUCACUAUGCAGACUCGUGACCUUGGGGUCCAAUACCAUCCUGCGAACAGAAGACGCAACUAUCAUCGCAAUUGCUCGUCGCAUCGCACGUCAGAUAAGUCGGACGACGUCGGACGAGGAGUUGAAAAAUUUCGCGAAUAUUUUUUUUAUUUGAAUAAAAUAUACAUUGGGUGGACUUAGAUAGAAAAAAAAAAUAAAUUUUCUUUUAAUCGUCGCUUUUCUCUGGCCGUCUCUUUUCAACCAAGCUCCAAGAUGAAAGAUAAUAGCGGCGAAAAUGAAACUUCGAAGCGAUAUAUUACGUUCGAGAUUUUCUAACCAGCCUCGUGAAACCCGCUCAACAGUUGAACAAUUUAAUGGCGCCACGAGAAACGAUAGGUAUCAAUCUAAAUGCAGAUGAACCGGAUUAUUUAUAGACAAUUCUUGCACGUGCAAAUCCAAAUCAUACGGCACAUACACAACAAUAUUAUUCUCUUUAUCGACGAUUUAAAAUCGUUUCGCUGAAGGAAAAUUCAAAGCUGUUUAAAAGAAGCGAAAAUUGAGAUAUGAAUUGUACAUAUAUAUACGUGGCACUCGAUAAGACGUUCGAAGAUCCCGCAUUUAAACCGGAUCGUUGCCGCCGAACGAUACAGUAUAACGUUCUACUUUUAGUUAUCAUCGCAUUGGUGGAGUAAAAGGUUAUCGUGUUAAGGAUACGUGUUGACGUGGCUCGGUUUAAAAGCGACCAGCCUUCGUUGAAAAUCCUGAAAUGGGCGAGGCCGACCAGAUAUCCGGGCAGGAAGUUUGCAGAGACAUUCCGCUGAUAAUAGGCUGACGAUCGUGAUGACGGAGGAAAACGUUAACGAUUAUUACCAUAACGUGACAGUUUGAAAGAUUGUUGAUCUUAACAAGUAUCCGAAUGCUCGGCAUAUUUUAUGAAAAAUAUUAUUUCAUUUUACAGCGUUUUUCGUAACGCAUAAUACGAUAUUGUUUAUCGAAUGGUAAUUUAAGAUAUAAUUAUUAGUCUAUCUUGAAGUAUCUAAUUUUAUAUUUAUUUUACGCUAAUUUAUUUGUUGACUCGAAAAAAUUUAAAUCAAAAUAAAAUUGUAAAUCAUUACGUGUACAACGAAAGGAUUAAAGAUUAAAUAUUUAAAGAAAAUAAUUUUGUAAUAACGAUUUUACGAAACACAGAACCGUGUUGCAAUACAAAGUAAGAAAGAAAAAAGGAUUAAAAAAAAAAGAAAGAAGUUGGAUCAAAUUCUCUUUAUAAUUUAACCUCUUUCCGGUAAUCGAUUUUAACGCUAAUUUAUGGCUUCCAACUUUAAUCGUCUGACACAAUAAAUUGAUUCGGAAAUUAUUUGAAGAUUGCACGGUUAUCUGAUAAUGAUUCCCAUUUUAAUUAACUCCGCGUCAAGAGAUUGUAAACAAUUGGAAACGCGAGUUGCAAUUAAUUAUUGGAUUUAUCCUUUGAAAACGUGCUAACGACUGCAUACGAAAAAUUGUUGAUUGGUUUCUUUUUUUCUUUUCUCUUUUUCCCUUUUCUUAUUUACAUUCAAAAGAUUCGUUCCAUUCACGACGACGAAGAGUAAAAUGAUGCGAGGGAAGAAAAGCUCUAUCGUGGGUGGCGCCGACCGAUAAGAGGAUUUCUUGUAGGCGGAUCUUUGGUUUUACGUAUUGAAUAAAAUGAUAAGUUCUGCGCAGAUAACUCGAUGGUUGAUCGAGUGACAUAAAAACACACGAUGUUUUGUGUUGUUUGAAAAGAAUAAUAAGCAUGAAAUAUUUAGCAUCAAACGGUGAAAUUAUAAACAGAAUUAUGGUGUACAGAAUUGUAUAAAAUAAUACUUUCAUAGAAAAUUAUAUGAAAGUAUUAUUUAACGAUUAAAUUUGUGCAAUUUUCUGCAAAUUUGUUAGAAUUUCUAAGAUAUGAAAUAUUGCUUUUAAUGUUUCAAUCUUUUUAUUAAAUUUUUUUAUUAAAUUACUCUUUGAAAAUUAUCUACUAAUCUGACACUAAUUUUUUAAGAUAAGAUGAGCAAAUUACAUGCUUAAUCAUCAUAAAAUUUGAUCAGAUAAAAAUUAAUCAGAUAACAUGGAUCUUAUAACGUUGUUUGAAAAACCUUACGCAUUUUCUCCAUAUAAUAAAAUGAUGAAAUCGUGGAAAAAGUAUCUCGAAUUAUUCGAGAUAUUUAUAAAAAAGAUUAUUAUUAUUAUUACAUAAAAAUUAAAAAAAAAAAUCAUUGAAAUUGAUCAAUGAUAAGAAUAACAAACAAACAAACAAGUAAUAAGUUUAAGUAUUUCUAUAAGUAUAUUGUCAUAAGUACUUGCAAUAAAAUAUAUUGUCAUAAAACUUGAAGAUCUGCAAUAAAAUUUUUCGAAUAAA